GGGGAUUAAGCAGCUGACCUGUGGUUCAUUUAUUCCCAGUUAGGUGAAGAGGCACUCUCAGGGGAAAGAAAAUACAGUGGUCUAGUCCAAUGCUGCUGUAGCCUGAUAACUGGACUUCAAGGUUAUGACUAAAAAGUUAUAUCUCAGCUGCUAUUCCUGGAUUCCUUGGAUUUUUGACACUUGCAUGAAUAGUAAAAGAGUACAAAAUAGAGUCGAGAAACUUUUAUGUAUCUACUCUUUGUGACUCUCUUCUGUCUUGAGGGAAGAAAGAGAUGGAGAAUUGGGAAUCUUCUCUCAAUUUACAUCACUUCUGACAACCUUAAAAAUUGACCUAAUAUUAUUCCUACAUCUUAAUAAAAUUUUCAUUCAGGAUGCUCUAAUGACAAAAACUAAUGUCAAGCCACAUCUCAACAAGGGACUGUUUGGAGAGUCUUACUGAAGGAUCAUAAGAAGCCAGAAGAGCGAAGGUGCAGAUUAUUAGUUGAUGUGAUGGGCAAUGCUUGAUUCAAUGGUAUGUUACUAAUAAUGACUACGUUUCAUCCAAAAAAACCCCCAGGAAAUUCUCAUAGUCUGUGAAAUAAAAUGAACGUACUGACUCAUAACUCUUAGGUUCAAGGGUGCUGAGGACUCCCUUUCUCUCUCCCUCCUUCUCUCUCUCCCUCUCUCACUUUCAUUCUCUUGCUUUUACUCUCAUUCUUGCUCUUGUGUUUUUCCUCUAUCUUUACCUUAUUUCUACUUAAGCCUCUUUUUCCCUUACUGUGUGGAGGAUUUCUUUACUCUGGAGGUAAUGUGAUCUUUGGAAAAAGGAUGUCUAUAAUUUUCAGAUAUGUGGCCCAGUAGGAAAAUUGUUUUUCAGCCGGUUCCAUAUUUUAAAAAUCCAGAGAAGAAAUAUGACUGCCUUAACCGCCUGUUGGUCUAAACGCUACUGUCAGAAGAUGAUUGCAUGUGAAUAAUUUGCUCAGAAUGUCAGCAAAUUUGGUAGAGAAGUAUAGUUAUUAUGUCUAUUGAAUCAUAUGGUUGAGUGUGGAUAAGCAGAUCUCCAAAAGAAGUGAAGAUACUGUACAGUGCAGACCAAAAAGUAAUACAAUACAAAUAUCAUAAAGCUGCAGCCACCCAGUACAUCCAUAUAAACUCAUUCUCAUAAUGUGAUCUAGAAAAAUGCAAAAAUUCCAUGCAACUAUCCACUGACAACCAAAGUUCUAAGUCCCAUGUCCUUCUUUUAUGCAACUAAAAUCCCAAGACAUUUGGAUGUUAGUAAAUAUUCUCCCUCCACACACUGCUGUUUUUAUUUUGAAUUGACGAUUUAUAAUUGUAUAAGUUUAUACAACAAAAAGUAACGGUAUUAUUUAUUAACGCAAUGUAACAUAAUUAAAUCAAGAUAGUUAACAUAUCUAUUACCUCAAAUAUGUAACAUUUUUGGUGGUGAGAAUAUUUGAAAUUUACUAUCUUAACAAUUUUAAAAUGUACAAUCCUCUAUUAUUUUGUUUUGUUUUUUGUUUGUUUGUUUUUGUUUUCAGAUGGAGUCUUGCUGUGCUGCCCAGGUUGGAGUGCAGUGGCACGAUCUUGGCUCACUGCAACUCCUCCGCCUCCCAGGUUAAAAUGAUUCUCCUGCCUCAGCCUCCCAAGUAGCUGGGACUACAGGCAUGCACCACUACGCCUGGCUAAUUUUUGUAUUUUUAGUAGAGACAGGGUUUUACCAUAUUGGUCAGGCACAUCUCGAGCUCCUGACCUCGGGCAAUCCACCCACAUCGGCCUCCCAAAGUGCUGGGAUUACAGGCUUGAGCCAUGACACCCAGCCCUCUUUUAUUAAUUAUAUUCACUGUGCUGUGCAAAAGACCUAAAAUAAUAUUCCUCCUCUCUGAGAUUUUGUACCGUUUUGCCAUCAUCUUCCCAUUUCCCCUGCCCUCAGGCUCUGUAAUCACCAUUCUACUCUCUGCUUCUAUGAGUUUGAUUAUUUCAGAUUUCACAUAUAAGUAAGACCAUGUGGUAUUUGUCUUUCUGUGCCUGGCUUAUUUCACUUAGAAUAAUGCUCUCCAAUUUCAUUAAUGCUGUUGCAAAUGACAUUUUUUUAUUUGAAGCUAAAUAGUAUUCUAUUGUGUGUAUGUGUGUGUGUGUGUGUGUGUAUGUGUUUGUGUGUGUGUGUGUGUGUGUGUGUGUGUGUGUAUGGAUACACAUACACCACAUUUUCUUUAUCUAUUCAUCUGUUGAUGGCAUCUAGGUUGAUUCUAUGAUGGCCAUUGUGAACAAUGCUGCAAUAAAUAUGGGAGCACAGACAUCUCUUCUACAAAUUAAUUUCAUAACUUUUGGAUAACUACCCAGAAGUGGGACUGCUAAAUCAUAUGGUAAUUCUAUAUUUUUUUUCAGAAACCUACACACAAUUUUUCAUAUGGCUGCACUAAUUCACAUUGCCACCAAAAGCAUACAAGGGUUCCCUUUCUCCUUAUUGUUGUUGGCACUUGUUAUCUUUAGUCUUUAUGAUAAUAGUCAUUCUUACAGCUAUGAGAUAUCUCAUUGUGAUUUUAAUUUUAAUUUCCCUAAUGAUUGUCAAUAUCAAGCUUUUUUUCACAUUUCCUUUGGCCAUUUGUAUGUCAUCUUUUAAGAAAUAUCUAUUCAGGUUAUUUGCCCAUUUUUAAUAGUUUUUUUUUAAAUUUUCUUGCCUUUGAGUUGUUUGAGCUCCUAAUCUAUUGUUAAUAUUAAUCCCUUAUUCGAUGUAUUGUUGCAAAUACUUUCUCCCAGUGUGUGAGUUGUCUCCGCACACUGCACUGUUAAUUGUUUUUAUGCAGAAACGCUUUGUUCGAUGUAAAACCAUGUAUCUAAUUUUGAUUUUAUUGCCUGCACUUUGGAGUCAAAUUCAAAAAAUCAUUGACGAAACCAAUGUCCUGUAGUUUUACUCCUGUAUUUUCUUCUAGUAGUUUUACAGAUUUAGUAUUAAGUCUUUAAUCCAUUUUUGAGUUGAUUUUACAUAUGGUAUGCAAUAAGGGUCCAAUUGUAUUCUUCUGCAUGUGGAUAUACAGGUUUUCCAACACCAUUUAUUAAGUGACUAUUCUUUUUCCGUUAGGUAUUCUUGGCACCUUUUUUGAAAAUCAAUUGACCAUACAUGUGUGGAUUUAUUUCUAGGUUCUAUAUUAUUUUCCUUUGGUUGAUUUUUUUUUUUAAAUCUGUACCAUGCUGUUCUAAUUACUGCAUGAUUUGUGAGUAGAUUCAGUUAGCAUUCCUCAACUAAGAAUAAACAGUAUGGCAGCCAGGCAGGGUGGCUCACGCCUGUAAUCCCAGCACUUUGGGAGGCGGAGGGGGGCGGAUCACGAGGUCAGGAGAUCAAGACCAUCCUGGCUAACACGGUGAAACCCCGUCUCUACUAAAAAUACAAAAAAUUAGCCGGGCGUGGUGGCGGGAGCCUGUAGUCCCAGCUACUCAGGAGGCUGAGGCAGGAGAAUGGCGUGAACCCGGGAGGCGGAGCUUGCAGUGAGCCGAGACUGAGCCACUGCACUCCAGCCUGGGUGACAGAGCGAGACUCCGUCUCAAAAAAAAAUAAAUAAAUAAAUAAACAGUAUGGCUACAUGACAAAUUUGCAACUCCAGCACACUGAAUGUAGAGUGAAAAUGAAAAAUUGUUUAAGAAAAGGAAACAAGAGGCAAUACACCCUAAGUGAAGAACAGCAACAAGAAAAAGCAGACCGUUUUAUCGGAUAGGUCAUAGUGAAUGACAGUAGGUCAUUUACUUUCUUCAUAAUCAAAUGUAAUCUUUCAUCAGACUGUUUUUCUUUCAUUUCUUAAUUUCAUUAAACAUUAUUUUUGAAUUGAAAGAUAAAAUUGUGUGUUUAUUGUGUACAACAUGAUGUUUUCAAGUAUCUAUACAUUACGGAAUGGCUAAACCUAGUGAAUUCACACAUAAAUUAGCUCACACAGUUUUUUUGUGGGAACAACUUAAAAUUGUAUUAUUUUCAAGAAUACAAUAUAUUGUUAUAAGUAUAGUCACUAUGUUUUACAACUGAUCUCUUGAACCGAAGAGAUUAACGCUUCCAUGUUUAUUACUACAUUUUUCCCAAUAGCCAAGAUAUGGAAUGAAUCUAAGUGUCCAUCAGUGAAUGAAUGGAUAAAGAAAAUGUGAUGUGUAUGUACAAUGGAGUACUUACUAUUCAGCCUUAAAAAAAUAAGGCAAUUCUGUUGUGACAACAUGGAUGAAACUGUAGGACAUUAUGUUAGGUGAAAUAAGUCAGGCACAUAAAGAUAAAUACUGCAUGACCUCACCUGUAUAUGGAAUCUAAAAAAAUAAAAAGUUGAUCAUAUAGAACUACCGAGUGGAAUGGUGAUUACUAGGGGAUAGGGGAGUUAGGUGGUGGAGUGGGAAUUGUUGUCCCUCAUUUCUGGACAACUGAGAGAUCCUCUGUGUUCUUCAUAGUUCCUAUCCAUCUCUAAAAGGGAAGUCCUUUUUUAGUGUUUGUGGAGAACUAGGUAAGUUAUUGGUGUAAAAAGUAAUCAUAAGACUAGACUACCAGACUUGGGAUUUUCUUACAUAAUACCCCACCCCCCGCCCAUAAAACACAAUAAACCUCAGUUUGAUUUGAUUUCUAGGUUCUAUCUUUGAUAGUAGAAAAUGCCAGAAAUUUUUUCAAGGCCUUUGAAUAUGAAGAUUAUUCCUGCUAUUUUUGUAUCUCUGCCUUUCUUGUAGCACCCAGUUUCACAGAUUCUCUCUUGUAAGCUGUUUCAUUUAAAUGUAAGUCAAUAAUUUGGUGGGCAGAAUUUGUAUUUCUUGUGUGAAAGCUCUGUAUUUAUAGUUGGCAUUUUAUAGUAGAAGAAAGUACUGCAUGUCUUGGGUUGGGGUAUAUGGAAAGAAACCAUAGGGAGGAACUUGGUGUCUCAGACAUUGUCUAUUUUUUUGGUUCCUUCAAAGUCUCAUUUUUAUCUUCAUUUGUUAGUUCUAUUUCUGUACCUAAUACUUUUAGUCUCCAUAGAACAGAAUACUCCAAAACAAGCCUUCAAAAUGAAAUAAAGCCCUUGACUGUGGUUGCUGAAUGGGUUUGGAUCACUUGUCUCAAGCACAGAGUAUCUCACUCCACCAACUCAAACUGAGUCUUACCUUUUCUGUAAGAGAAUGCUGAGGAUUGUAAGGUUGCCUAAAUACUCCAUAUUUUAUCAAAUUUCAACAUGGGUUUUAAAUUGCUAGCUGGGUGGACACAUUGGCUAAGUCCAGAGACAGGGUAGGUAAUUACUUAAUUAGAGGCUUCUCUUUUACAUACAAAAAUCAGCUUCUUAGCCAGAAAUAUGAGAUUCUCUCUGCUCUCUUUCCUCAGAUGCCAGAACCAUAUUUCUAUUCUUUCACUUGAAACAAAACUUGUAAAUGUACCACUUUUCUGUUAGUCAUUAUUCCUGGAGUAGCAAGUGAAAAGAAAGGGAAUUCAAGCUACCUUAUGCCAGAAAUAGGAUAUACUGUCCCCUAAAUUGUAAGAAGUCCAUGACUGGUUUUAGGCAUGACAAGGUUCAAGGAUUCAAGAUAUGGCACCUGGGUUUGUAACUUUUUCUCUCUCAGCCUCCUUGCUUAGUUCUUUCUAAGUUUCUACUUCUCCUCCUGCACACAGUUUCACUCCAUGUAUUAAGGAAGCUGGCCUUUGCUAGUCCUUAACUGGGUAGAGGAGUCCCCAAAAUAAUGAGAUUGUUGGACAUUCCAAAAUAUAUAUUGACUAUAAGUACUUAAUGGAAUGAACUGAAAGACCACAAUAAAAUUUUCAUAAUACAAAUUCUCAUAUUGCACAAUGAGUUUCUUCUGUACA
rnacentral:lncRNA from 10 species